rnacentral:rRNA from 1 species
UACGUAGGUGGCAAGCGUUGUUCGGAUUCAUUGGGCGUAAAGGGUGCGUAGGCGGCGCGGUAAGUCGGGUGUGAAAUCUCGGAGCUUAACUCCGAAACUGCAUUCGAUACUGCCGUGCUUAAGGACUGGAGAGGAGACUGGAAUUUACGGUGUAGCGGUGAAAUGCGUAGAUAUCGUAAGGAAGACCAGUGGCGAAGGCGGGUCUCUGGACAGUUCCUGACGCUGAGGCACGAAGGUCAGGGGAGCAAACGGG